rnacentral:sRNA from 1 species
AGUUAUCUUCCUUUGUCCAUAAUUGUAGUUGAAUCAAUUUUAAAAAUUAAUUUUAACCAACUACAAUUAUGGACAAAGGAAGAUAACU